UCUCCACAGUGUGUCAGUGCAGGUCUGAUAGCAGGAGGGAGAGGAUUAGUGUUUAGUGCAUUGACUGAUUUCAGAAGGGAGGAGGAGGUAUCAACCAGGACAUUCGCACAGGUCAUACUUUUAAUGAUCUUACCCCAAUUCCUGGAGUCAGAUGAUACAGUGAAUCUCAGGCUUUAUGUUAAUGAAGGUGCUUUGGAAGCACAACAGCUCCAUGAGCCUAUCAAAAGUGCCAAGAUCUAUCAAACCUCUACAGGGGCAAGC